AGUGAACGCUGGCGGCGUGCUUAACACAUGCAAGUCGAACGAGAAAGUUUCUUCGGAAAUGAUUAAAGUGGCGAACGGGUGAGUAACGCGUAGGUUACAUGCCCCUUAGUUCGGGAUAAGCAUUGGAAACGAUGUCUAAUACCGGAUGUGAUCUUCGGAUUAAAGGCUUCGGCCGCUAAGGGAUUGGCUUGCGUCGUAUUAGCUUGUUGGUGAGGUAAUGGCUCACCAAGGCAACGAUCCGUAGCUGGUCUGAGAGGAUGAUCAGCCACACUGGGACUGAGACACGGCUCAG
rnacentral:rRNA from 1 species